rnacentral:tRNA from 1 species
GCCCAUAUAGCUCAGCAGGUAGAGCACUUCCUUGGUAAGGAAGAGGCCACCGGUUCAAGUCCGGUUAUGGGCUCCA